GUCCUGGAAAUGGAGGUAUUAUGGCAUAUAAAGAUAUAGUGGACUUCAAUUUAGCAAACAAAGCUACUACCGUGGUAUAUGAUCACACAACAGUAUCAACCUAUUCGUAUACUGGAACCAACUGGAUCGGAUAUGAUGAUACCAGAUCAAUCAAAAAUAAAAUCAGGUUUGCCAAGGCUCAGGGUCUUGGUGGGUAAUUUUUCUGGGCACUUGGUUGUGAUGAAAAUUCGAACCUUGCCAAAGCAGUACAAUGGCAGCUCCAAUGGCUUGGGACAGUAUCUGAUUGGUGUGAUUAAGCACGCUUCUGUGAGGCCAGAUGCUGUUGACAACCUUGAAGAUUACUAGACAUGUUAUUUGUCCACCUUCCAAUGUUUGUGGACUGUAUGUUGAUCCAUUUGUAAAUCUUCAUACGUGUGUGGACUCUAUGUUUCAAUUUUUAGCUCUUGUUUGUCCUACAUGUGAAAGAGGAGAUUGUGAAUAUGGAAACAAUAUCUACCAAGAUUUCAGGCUCCGUAA